rnacentral:ncRNA from 1 species
AUAAAUAUAAUAUAAAUUUGAUUCUGGUUUUAAAAAUAUUUUUAUGAUAAUUUUUAAAUAUGUAAGUUUUUGCGUGAUAAGUGUUGUUAAAAUUAUUUAAAUAGUAAUUUUAACUUUUAAUGAAUAGAUUCGCAGUUUUUAUUUUUAUGGUUUAUUUAAUAAUUUAGGACAUAGUUAAUUAUAAAAUAACUAGCUAAAAUUGUGCCAGCAGCUGCGGUUAUACAAUUAGUUAAAAUUAUUAUUAUUAGGUUAAUUAUUAUUUAUAUAAAUUCUUGAUUAUUAAAUUUAAUUUUUUAGGUGAAAUUUAAAAUUUAUAUUUAAUGUUUGGUUAUAUAUUUAAUUAUAAGAAAUUCUUAUUUUAAACUAGGAUUAGAUACCCUAUUAUUUGGAAUGUAAAUGUUUAUCUUAGUAUUAUUAGUUAAGAUCUUUAAAUUGAAAGAAUUUGACGGUAACUUAAAUCAUUUUAGAGGAACCUGUUCUGUAAUCGAUGAUCCACGAUGAAUUUUACCUUUAAUUAAAUUUUAAAAUUUAAAGUUUGUAUAUCUCUGUCUGAUUGAGUGUUUUAUUAGAAUAAUUCUCUUUAAUUUUUUUAAAAAUUUAUGUCAGGUCAAGGUGCAGCUAAUUUAAAGGUUUGAAAUGGGUUACAUUUAAGUUUUAAUUAUUGAAUUAAUAUUUAUUUAUUUAAUUUAUGAAAUUGGAUUUAAUUGUAAUUGAUAAAAUAUAUUAUCUAUGAUAUAUGUUCUUGGUUAAGUACACAUCGCCCGUCGCUCUCAUUAUAAGAUGAGAUAAGUCGUAACAAAGUAGUUCUAUCGGAAGAUGGAGCUGGAAUUAUA